ACUCACAUUGCUGGUGCAUUAUACGUUCAAGUAUAUAAAAAAAAUCUUAAAAAAUUAUAUUGAAAGCUAGUCAUCUUCCGCGUUCAAAGACGGAAGAUAAUUUUACCUAUCGAAAAUAUUUUGUUUGUGUAUAUUUUAUCUUUUAUUCAUAUAUUUAGUUCAUAACUUACUAGAAGUGUUAACGGAGAUGAUUUGCUGUAAUAAAUAUACUUUUUGAUUAAAAAAAAAACGUUUUAAAAAUUAAAUAAUUCACAUGAAUUAUAAAGAAAUUAAAUAGAAAAUGAAAACUAAUUUCAUAACAGUGGACAGUAAUUUAUAAUAGAUCGUAUGUACAAUAAGAAAAGCAAAAAAUAAUCAACAUAUUUUUACUUCAAAUAUUUAAAGUUCUGACCACAAGAACUUUAAACUCUUAUACGGAAAUGAAUAAAAGGAACUUAAAUCUUUAGAUAAAACAAUUAAAAACUAAAAGUGUGAGCUGGAAUAUAGAUACGUAUAUAUCAUAUUACUCUGCUACGGACACAGAAAGACUUGAUAUAGAUAAAACCAUGGCAGAUGAGUAUAUUCUCAAGGAAGAAAGUGUCUUGGAAUUAGAUAGAGUAAUAGAAAAAUUCAGUAAGGAGCUAGAGGAAUCAUUUGGUCAUUUCUAUAUCAAAGGAUUAAUGAAGAAAAUUUCUGAGCCGGAGAACAAAACGAUCAAAAAUUUACGCGAAAAUCUCGAUGGUAUGAAAGCUAAAAUUGAAUGUUUUCAAAGGGAUCUUCUACAGGCUUGCUCACUCGGCGGAGCACAUUUAGAAGUGCCGGAUAGACGCACUCCAUUUAUAAGAGGACCACCUAUUGAUCGAGACAGUGGCUACACUUCCGAUCUUCGCUUGUCUGUGGCAUCAAACAAUUCGACCCAAUCAGAGAACAGACUUUCCAAAUUAGACAUAAAAGAUGAUGAUCACGAUCGGAUACCUUCGGACGAUGCAGAACUAUUUAACCCUUCACGGUCCGGUUCGAACAGCUCCGUUUCAGACGACAACCAAACAGGCAGCGACACCAAGUUCUAUAUCAAAGUUUUUGAUUUGGAAACGUCUCUGACCGAAUUUAAGGAAAAGAAUAUCAGUACCAUAAAAGGUGAAGACGAUGUUGUUAAAAAGAUUGAUGAUGAUGCAGCGCAGUCACUCACUGGUCCAUAUGCUAUCAAAGGACGAUUUGAAGGAUUGCCUCCUGCAAUGAUUGCAAACGAUCAAAUUUGCCAACCACCUGCAGUUCAGUGUUCGAUGAAUACGCCUUGUAGCGAGACUGUCCCAAAAGUAAUCAAAACAGAAGACGACAACACUGCACCAGUUAUUAUUAACGAUCUUUCAAAGCGUUCUUCUGAGGAAGACAACACAAAAUAUACGGUGAAUGUAGAAUAAAACAGGCAAAACGUAAUCUAUUACUUUGUCUUUUGCAAUAUUGGGAACUUUAUAAGCAUUUAAAAGCUCUGAAAAGGGAAAGCGUUUGACUCCAAUGCUAAUCAACAUUCAACAUUUAUGCUUUUGAACCAAAAUAAAUCCCGAAAAGAAAUACAACAACAACAACAACAACAACAACAACAACAACAACAACAACAACAACAACAACAACAACAACAACAACAGCAACAACAACAAAAAACAACUCUGUUUAAGCUGUGUAAAGUGUUCGACAGCGUUACAUUGAAUGAUUGCAUAAAGAAAAUGGAUUAUUCAAACUUCUUUUCCUUUAUAUUCACGAAGUAAAUAUUCUUUUUUGGGGAUUUAUCAGUUGGUGAUCCAAUGGACAAGAAAUUAAGUUACAAAUGAUGUUUUACAAUUUUCUUAACUAACAGAAGUAAAUAUUUUCACAAAAGAUUGAAAAGAAAAAAUGAGUCCGUUUGUUCCUGAAUAAUGGGAUUAUUUACCAUCCAGAGUUUUUUUAAUCAAAUAAAUAAGACAACGCACAAAACAUUGAUGUUUCAUAAAAUCCGGUCGAGAAACAUUAAAAUGAAUGCUGGAAUCCACUGUCAUCUCAAUGUUGCAUUUUGCAUUUCUCAUUUUUCUGAGAAAUGUGCACAACAUUUGCCCAAGACAAACGUUCCCAGGUAUCCCGUGCAGAAGUAGAUCCAGAUAUUAUGCUUUGACAUUCAUUAAAAUUUUAGUACAUAAAAAUUAAGCUUUCUGCAUUCAUUUCUUACAUUUGUAAUGAAUUAUUAAUUGUUAGGUUACUUUUUGACGUCUUUACAUUCUAGGUAUGCCAUGUCCACAUCAGUCCGUAAAUUAUUGAAGAAAAGCAUAAUGACCCACGUUUUGUAUAUUUUUAGAUAUAAAAGUUGCUGACGGGAUAUGCGGGAGAACAUGGUCCGAGGCAAGAGCCGUGGGUUAUAUCAGGAAGGUUAUAUUCGCCCGUAUAUCCCGCCAAUACUUAUAUAUAACGAUAUUAUAAUUACGCAAAUUGUUUAGGACGACAAUUUCAUAAGAAAUCCCGGCAUCUUUAGACUGUUUCUUAAAGGAGCGGAUGUAGAUGCACCUCAUCAACGGCUACGCCAGAGACAUAGAUAACAUUAAUGUCUCUGGCUACACUAACGCUGAGCAAUAAAAAAUGUAAUUCAAGUGUGUUGUGACGUAUUUUUUUUAAACAUAAGCAUCAAAACUCAAUACAAAUGUUAUGGACAAACUUUUAUUUACUGUCUGUGGUGUAGAAAUACAUUGUUCAUUGUGCAUGCUCCGGUUCUGCACGGUAUUUACGUUAUUGCAUAUAAAAUAUUUAAUCCCAUAAGAAUUGGACAAAUUUAUUUAAAUUAUAAUAGGAUGUAAGAUAAUGAAUGUUAUAAUAUUUCCAGUCUCGUUGUGACAUGUAUUGCAUCUUAUAUCUACAUAUACAUAUCACAUUGUUGUCAAUACACCAGUAUAAAAUAAAACAUGAUAAUCAGGAAGUAGUAUGCGUCACUUUCUAUGGUCCAUGAAAAGAAUUAACCAUCCGUAUGAUCCGAGCAUGCAACUUCUUUCAUAUCUUCUUUCUUA